UGUUGACAGUGGACACAGCCUGUCUUUUCUCCUCCUGGCACCCUUGGCUUGUUUAAAGUGUAUGCUAAGACUGCUAAUCUCUCCGUAUUCCCUGUGUCUCCGCUGUAUCUCCGCUGAACGGCAAUUGCCUGAAUACCGCAUACCCGUGCUGGUGAAGGGAUAUUAGAGCUCACUUCCAUUUCUUCGGAUUCUCUCUCUCUCUCACUCGUGAGCGAUCCGUUUCGGCUGUAGUCGCAGUCCUGUUUGUCUUCCCUCCGUCAUACUACGAGAACGCUGUAUUUUCCAGCUGAUCUGAUGGAUUGUCGCUGUCUGGUUUCUUUAUAUCAUUGUUUAGUGUAUUUUUGGGUUGCCAUUCAA